rnacentral:rRNA from 1 species
GACAGAGGAUGCAAGCGUUAUCCGGAAUGAUUGGGCGUAAAGCGUCUGUAGGUGGCUUUUAAGUCUGCCGUCAAAUCCCAGGGCUUAACCCUGGACAGGCGGUGGAACUACCAAGCUGGAGUACGGUAGGGCAGAGGGAAUUUCCGGUGGAGCGGUGAAAGUGCGUAGAGAUCGGAAAGAACACCAACGGCGAAAGCACUCUGCUGGGCCGACACUGACACUGAGAGACGAAAGCUAGGGGAGCGAAUGGG